CUCGGUGGUCAUAGCGGGGAGGACACGCCCGGACCCAUCCCGAACCCGGAAGCUAAGAACCCCAGCGCCCAUGGUACUACGCCCGACAGGACGCGGAAGAGCAGGACACCACCGAGC
rfam:Actinomyces massiliensis F0489 contig00180, whole genome shotgun sequence.